GGGAUCAAACCUUCGUCCUCAUGUAUGCUAGCAGUGUUUUGUCAUUUUCAAUGACCGAGUCUUGCACAUAUAAGAGGCUGGAACAUCCCUUGGCCCUGCCAUUGGCAGGCACCCUGUCUGGAGGGAGAAGUUCUUCUGGGUGCCAGCACAGAUGAUGACAUCACAGUGUGUCAGGGAUACCACCUGCCUGCCUUGAAUUUGGAGUCAGCUCUUGUCCAGUUUGAGCCAGCUAAGACUUGUUGGGAGCACCAACUCCAAGACUGGGCCUGCACAGGUGUUCGAUGAAUCACCUUUUGACAUCCGAGGACAGAUGUCAAAAACUCCAUCCUCGGGCAUUCCCGUCAUGGCUCAGCAGUUAACAAAUCUGACUAGCAUCCAUAA